UACGUAGGGUGCAAGCGUUAAUCGGAAUUACUGGGCGUAAAGCGUGCGCAGGCGGUUAUGUAAGACAGAUGUGAAAUGCCCGGGCUUAACCUGGGAACUGCAUUUGUGACUGCAUGGCUAGAGUGUGUCAGAGGGGGGUAGAAUUCCACGUGUAGCAGUGAAAUGCGUAGAUAUGUGGAGGAAUACCGAUGGCGAAGGCAGCCCCCUGGGUCAAGAUUGACGCUCAUGCACAGGAAAGCGUGGGGAGCAAACAGG
rnacentral:rRNA from 1 species